GGGUUGUGGCUCAGCGGUAGAGUGCUCGCCUAGCACGUGCAAGGCCCUGGGUUCAAUCCUCAGCCCCG
rnacentral:tRNA from 1 species